ACCUCCCUCCCACCCCCUUUGCCGCGCGGCCGGGCACAAAUGGGGAGUUUUGCAAGCAGGCACUAAGGAGGACGCCUCAGGGGUAAUGCCGAUCGCGCAUGCGCCGAGGGAGGGGGAGUGCGCAGACGCCAGCUGGUGGCCGGCGUGCGCGUGCGCAGUGGGACUCGCUCGCGUGUGCGGCGCUCGCCAGCAGUUUUGGCAGCUGUGCUCGCACUGCCCUUGUGAAUUCAGGCCGGCUGCUCAGUCAGUAACAGAGGACAGGAACGAGCAACGGCUGUGGCUGGGGGGAAGUGGAACAGGACUCAGAGGGGUGUUUCCCAACCAGUGUGCCAUCAGCACUGAACAGAUGCAGAGUUUUGUCAUGGCAAUGAGCUACAACAGGGUGGGCCGAUCCUCAGUCUCCUCCGUCCGAACGAAGAGGUUCAGGAUCAGCGCUGCUGCGUUGGGUUGUGGCUGGCGAGACCGCAGGGGCAGCUGGGUGGAGCGUGGCGCCGGUAACUGCUGAACGAGCAUUGGUGCAGAGGAGCACGGCCCUGCUACAAAGAGCUGGGAUAAACGAGUACAGUGCGCAACACUUGCCUGAGAAGAAGAAUGCUAUGAGGUGAUCAACACUCGAUGUCUUCUGCAAAUCUCCCUUAAUUAGAACAACAAGUUACAUCUAUAUGUCAGCGGUUGCCCUAAUGCAACUAUAUAGCCAAUGGCAGCUUACAGCCCAGAAUGACGCCGGUCUUCACGCAGGUGGCAUCAUCACAGUGCUCACUGCAAUAUGAUCUUUAUUGAAAAACAUCUCACAGAAGAGAAAGUGGCCUGAAUAAAGUCUUCAGGGUCAGGA